rnacentral:rRNA from 1 species
GUCUGUUCGACCAAAACAUCGCUUUUUGUAAUAAAUAAAAAGUUUGGUCUGCCCACUGUAAUUAAAGGGCCGCGGUAUAUUGACCGUGCAAAGGUAGCAUAAUAAUUAGUCUUUUAAUUGAAGGCUAGAAUGAAUGGCUGGAUGAGGUAAUAACUGUCUCUUAUAAAUUAAAAAUAAAUUAAAGGUUUAGUUAAAACGCUAAAAUAUUUUUAAGGGACGAUAAGACCCUAUAGAUCUUAAUAAAUUUUGUUAAUUAUAAUAGCUGAAAUAAAUAAUUUAUUGAAAUUUAUUUUAGCAUUCCCCCGUAUAAAUAAUAUAAGAUUUUGGUUAUUACCCCCUUCCUUAACUCUUUUAUUAGCUAGAAGUAU